rnacentral:rRNA from 1 species
CCUACGGGUGGCUGCAGUAAGGAAUAUUGGUCAAUGGACGAGAGUCUGAACCAGCCAAGUAGCGUGAAGGAUGACUGCCCUAUGGGUUGUAAACUUCUUUUAUAUGGGAAUAAAAUGUUCCACGUGUGGGCUUUUGUAUGUACCAUAUGAAUAAGGAUCGGCUAACUCCGUGCCAGCAGCCGCGGUAAUACGGAGGAGCCGAGCGUUAUCCGGAUUUAUUGGGUUUAAAGGGAGCGUAGGUGGAUUGUUAAGUCAGUUGUGAAAGUUUGCGGCUCAACCGUAAAAUUGCAGUUGAAACUGGCAGGCGUGAGUACAGUAGAGGUGGGCGGAAUUCGUGGUGUAGCGGUGAAAUGCUUAGAUAUCACGAAGAACUCCGAUUGCGAAGGCAGCUCACGGGACUGCAACUGACACUGAGGCUCGAAAGUGUGGGUAUCAAACAGGAUUAGAUACCCGGGUAGUC